CAACGUCGCGGAUGGCCAAAUUGUAAUUUAUGUCAACAUUGUAAGCGAGAACGGGAGAAGGCGGCUCAUCUUCUUUUCAAGUGCAGAUACACAAGGCGGAUUUGGUAUGCCAUCAAAAGUUGGCUUAAUCUAGCGUACAUCAACUUGGACAAUUGGAGCAAUUUUAACUCGGUCAAAGAUUGAUGGUACUACACGGUAAAUGCCAACAGUAAUGUGAGGAAAGGUGUCUCGUCCAUGGUUAUAUUGGCUUCAUGGGAGAUUAGGAACUAGAGAAAUGCAAGUCUUUAG
rnacentral:rRNA from 1 species